UGGUGUAGCGGUUAUCACAUCUGUCUAACACACAGAAGGCCGGCGGUUCGAGUCCGCCCGAGAUCA
rnacentral:tRNA from 1 species